UCAGUGCGACUGUGUGAUCGCAGGUGGUUCGGAUCGCCUCUCUGAGCCUCUUUUGCCUCAGCCCCAUACGCAGCCUGUUGCCCAUAGCACCUCUCCUACCGAAGCCGAAGGGAUCUGCGGAGACAGUGAGUGUGAAGGCUCAUGUCUCGGGUAUUUUGUCAUAGCGAUGGAAGGGCUGGCAGACAUAUCUGGCAAACACAUUCUGGAAAUCCAUAUAAAACCGGCUGUUCUGCAAACUAAUUAAAUGCACAACAAUGACAACAACAACAACAACAACCAUGACGACAACAACAAGAAGAGGGAAGAAGAUGGGAUCAGACAGGUCAACAGUUCAUCAAAAGGCCCUGCUCUGUGUGCGCUGGGGAGACAGAGGUGAGUGGCAUACUGACCAGGUCGUCACAACACACUGUCUCUAGGAGACAGGCACCCGCAGGCUGUGCAAUGUCACUUCAGUGAGAUCAGUGCUGAGAAAAGAAAAGUUUACCAGGAGCCAUCCUUGUACCUCGUGAAGCUGGGAAACCAUCCUAAGACAGAUGACCAUCGAUAACCAAUGGGGCAUGACCUGAAGCCGACUGACAGGAGCCAUGCAUUACAAGAUGAAGGGGCUAUGCCAGAGAAAUGCUGAUGCCCAAGGAUCAGCGAUGAACAGGAGAUGGGCAGUCCCUGGGGUCUUUCUUCUAUCCACCUGUUCCAAUGGCACCCGACUUACUUACUAGUUUUAUGAGCUUUAACACAUAAGGGUAGGGCCACCCCUUACCUUGUUGAUUGCUUUUAGAAAAGACACAAAUGGUCUUUUGUACUUUGGUCAUUGGGUCGGGAGUCUACAGGACCACUCUUUAGUUAGGCCUGGUGGACUUCGAGAAGGCCUCGUGAGGUUCAGAAGCUGUUACACAUGAACAUAAUUUAUUACAAGGAAUGGGUACAGAGCCAUAUUUGCCAAGGAAGAAAGGGUGUGAGAAACUGGAAAAAUAGGCAGCUGUCCCCUCCCAGAGGGGCCGCAUAGCUAUUUCCCCAGUGACAAUAGUGACAAUGCAUACAAAGCGUGGCCGGCCACGGAAGUUGUCUGGCCACGGAAGUUUCCGUGAGCCUCGAUGUCCACGCAGUGCCUGUGUGACUCUCUUCAUCUUCCAAAGCUUGAUUUGAUGGAUUGAAUUGAUACAAUGUGGACCAGGAACCAAGGGCUCAAACAAACAAACGCUUGUAGAGUUUUCUAAGGACUCACUUCUCUCUGGAGUUGGCCACUGGUCAGUCCUGAAUCCAGAGCUUUCCCAGGAAUGUAUAGGGCUUGCACAACUCAGUGCGGCCUGCUGACUGAAGU